CUACGGGAUGCUCCAGUGGGGGAUAUUGCACAAUGGGCGAAAGCCUGAUGCAGCAACGCCGCGUGAAGGAAGACGGUUUUCGGAUUGUAAACUUCUAUCAGCAGGGAAGAAAAUGACUGUACCUGACUAAGAAGCCCCGGCUAACUACGUGCCAGCAGCCGCGGUAAUACGUAGGGGGCAAGCGUUAUCCGGAAUUACUGGGUGUAAAGGGUACGUAGGCGGCUGAUCAAGUCAGAUGUGAAAGCCCGGAGCUCAACUCCGGGACUGCAUUUGAAACUGGUCGGCUAGAGUGCAGGAGAGGAAAGUGGAAUUCCUAGUGUAGCGGUGAAAUGCGUAGAUAUUAGGAAGAACACCAGUGGCGAAGGCGGCUUUCUGGACUGUAACUGACGCUGAGGUACGAAAGCGUGGGGAGCGAACAGGAUUAGAUACCCCGGUAGUC
rnacentral:rRNA from 1 species